rnacentral:rRNA from 1 species
UACACACCGCCCGUCACACCACGAAAGUUGAUUGUACUAGAAACCGCCGAGCUAACCCGUCAAGGGGGGCAGGCGUCUAAGGUAUGAUCAGCGAUUGGGGUG